AGUGAACGCUGGCGGUAGGCCUAACACAUGCAAGUCGAACGGCAGCACAGUGAGAGCUUGCUCUUACGGGUGGCGAGUGGCGGACGGGUGAGGAAUACAUCGGAAUCUACUUUUUCGUGGGGGAUAACGUAGUGAAACUUACGCUAAUACCGCAUACGACCUACGGGUGAAAGCAGUGGAUCUUCGGACCUUGCGCGAUUGAAUGAGCCGAUGUCGGAUUAGCUAGUUGGCGGGGUAAAGGCCCACCAAGGCGACGAUCCGUAGCUGGCCUGAGAGGAUGAUCGGCCACACUGGAACUGAGACACGGUCCAGACUCCUACGGGAGGCAGCAGUGGGGAAUAUUGGACAAUGGGCGCAAGCCUGAUCCAGCCAUACCGCGUGGGUGAAGAAGGCCUUCGGGUUGUAAAGCCCUUUUGUUGGGAAAGAAAAGCAGCAGGUUAAUACCCCGCUGUUCUGACGGUACCCAAAGAAUAAGCACCGGCUAACUUCGUG
rnacentral:rRNA from 1 species